GCGGAUGUAGCUCAAUGGCAGAGCGCCGCCUUGCCGAGGCGGUGACCCGGGUCCGAUUCCCGGUAUCCGCU
rnacentral:tRNA from 1 species